GGCGGGGUGCCGGAGUGGUUAAUCGGAGCAGACUGUAAAUCUGCCGCCCGUUAGGGCUACGUGGGUUCAAAUCCUACCCCCGCCA
rnacentral:tRNA from 1 species